AGGUCACAUCCAACAAAGAAACAGGGACCUCAGUCCUAUAAACACCACCAACAGAAUGAACUUGGAAGCAGAUUUUCCCCCAGAGCAUCCAGAUAAGAACUCAGUCCACUCAACAUCUUCAGCUUUGUGAUAUUCCAGGCAUAUUGUGCUGAACUUCUGACUUACAGAACUUCAGUCCUGAAAGGAUUAUAAAAGCAAGAAAGAAACAUGGACUCUAAGAAUUAACAACAGUGUGGGAAGCCACGGAGGAGAUUUAUGACUACCCUAAAUUGGUUUGUGUUUGGAUGGAUGACUAUUUCCUGCUCUUUAUUACUAGAAAUUGGCAGCAACAUCUCAGAUUGGAUAAUGGUACUGGUGGAAUAAUUACCAGAAAGAAAAAAACAUCCCCACUAAAGUGAUGAAAACAUGUACAGAUUGUCCAACCUUUUGCUUUUGUACCACUUCCCCUUCCAGAUGUCAGGGUUGUGAUUUAUUUCUCCCUAAGAGUUUAAAAAUAAAACUCUCAUCAUAAAAUUU
ensembl:lncRNA novel transcript